UACAGAGGGUGCGAGCGUUAAUCGGAAUUACUGGGCGUAAAGCGCACGUAGGUGGCGACGUAAGUCGGGUGUGAAAGCCCCGGGCUCAACCUGGGAAUUGCAUUCGAGACUGCAUUGCUGGAGUACGGAAGAGGAAGGCGGAAUUCCCGGUGUAGCGGUGAAAUGCGUAGAUAUCGGAAGGAACAUCAGUGGCGAAAGCGGCUUCCUGGACCAGUACCGACGUUCAGGCACGAAAGCGUGGGGAGCAAACAGG
rnacentral:rRNA from 1 species